UGGCCACCGCAGAAACAGGCACGCCGGGCGCGGCCACUGGCUCCUGGCCCCGACGGCUUCAGCGAGGGCCACUGCGCAUGCGAGGGACAGAGCUGGACCCUGCCGAGGGCUGGGUAAAGGACCGAGAGAGUGGUUGUCGGAGGAACUGGUGACUGAUUUGGGGAAACUCCAGGCGGAGCUCGCCAGAAUCCAGGGGGAAACAGGAAGAGUAGGGGAUGGAGGGCGGACGGUUGGCUCAGAGCGGCGGGGAGACAGCGCGGAUCUGCGGGCGGAGCGGCACGUGCGAGUGCGGGCUCUGUAGAGACGCGAAGUCUCCAGCAGGGUCAUUUAACGAGCUGGCGUUUAUGGAUUGCUAGCCUGAUGAUUUGGUGAACUUUCCAGUUUUCCAUGCUGUUACAACUUUUUUCUUCUCUCCGCUCUCAAAAGCUUUGCUUUUCUAGGCCACUGCCACUCUCCAUAAGGCAGACAUGACUAAUUUCCAGAGUAUUUUUAAGUAAUCUCUACACCGAAGGUGGGACUUGAACUCACAACCCUGAGAUCAACCGUCAUGCUCUACCGACUGAGCCAGCCAGGUGUCCCUUUCCUACAGGGUAUCCUGUUACCAAACCAGAUGUGAUCACCUGUUUGGAGAAGGGAGGACUUCAGAUCAUAGAGAAAUUCCAAGUUUGAGUUAUACAGAUAAAUAAGAAACAGACAGAUGGAGAUGAUGAGUAAGACCCCAGUGGGGCCUGAACCACCUCAACCCCAAAUCAGGACAACCUCCCCCUUCCAUUCCACAUGGAGCUAAGUUUCCUGUUUUCUGAGUCCCCGAAACCUUCGGCCUCCAUUCUCGGGGAGGUAUAGGACUUCUGAGCGCUCUUGACCUGGACAAAAUCUCCACAUAGUCGAUGAGGAAACAGCACAGAGAAGAGUUCUGCCCUAGUUACAAAGCUGGUGAAUGGGGCUUUGAAACCAGGCUGUCUCCAUCAUGUUUGUUUGGUUCUGUCUUCUUCCUUGCUGUGUUCCCAAUGUCUGGAAUACUGUCUGUCAUACAGGAGAAGCUCAUGUUCUAGUGGUGCACGACUCGCAAUAAACAAGAAUUCGAGAUUGCUUCUGAUGGGUCUUUAAAAAAAUCUUACCCCUCUCACGGCUCAGCAUUCUGUCUAGAAUGAAGCAUGAGCUCUGUUCCUGGCAGAGGAGGCCCUACGGCAUCUGCCCCCACUCCCUCCCUCCCACCUCCUACGCUCCCAACACACUGCCAGUUUCCAUUCCUCCCAACACGCCAAAUUGGUCCCACUUCCCGGCCAGGAGGCUCUUUUCUUCGGCUCUUUGUGUGACCGGCUCCUUUUGGUCAGCAAAAUUGUCACCUCCGACGAAAGGAUUUUGUUCCUGCCCAUCCAGAGAAAAGAACCCGUCAGCUGCUGCUUAACACAUUGGCUUCACCAAGGGAUGUGUGUGUCCUAGGUCGCCGCUUAUGUAUCCUUCAGCUUGUUUGUAUGCUGUCCUUCAAAACUCCCGGCUUUAGCCACUGGAUGGAGCCAGUGUGACCUUUCCCAACCUCCCGGCCUUUGUGCACGCUGGGCGAUUCUGCCACGCGUCCCGUCUUCCUGUUCAAUUACACCUGUAAACCCGACGCUGCCCUUCGGGUUCAAGACACCAAAUUCCCGCCUGCCAGAAUUUUCCUCAGUUGGGCAGUUCCCUUCCCCAUCAUAAGGAAAAUGGUUUUCGAAGCCUCAGGCAUGACGGUCUCUGUAGAACCAAGUAGACACCUGCUCUACACCACAGCCCUCGAGGUGUAGAGCCCCGGUGGGCGCGGCCAUCUCAAAGCAGGGACCGCGCGGGCGCGGCCAUCUUCCCUCCGCGCAGGCGCCGCGGCCCCGCCGCGUUCGCGUGGGGCCGGCGGGGGGGGGGGGGCGGGAGGGGGCCCGGUGUUGACUAUUGGCGGACGCGGGCUCAAAGCCCCCACUGAGCGUGCGCACAUCCAACCGCUGCAACCCUGUAGGUUGCGGAGCCUGAGUUGGUCCUGAAGCGGAAGUGCUUCUUGGGGCCAGUUCUUGCACUGGUCUCUGCAGUGAGCAGAAAAUCUAUUGUCGAGAGGCACAGUGACCUGCGCUAAGGGUUCAUACGCACUCCUCAGGCCCCUCCUUAGGCGCCCCCCGCCUCUCCCCGUGCCCCUCUCCCCUUGCCCGCGCCCCAGGGUAGGGGCCUGAUGUGAAUGCUUCAGCCGAAGUGAAUCUGCACCCGAAGGCUUCCUUCUGGCUCCUGGGCAAGCCGGCCCCAGUGAGGAUUAACUUUGGCAUUCAUAAAGUCGACGCUGAGAUGAAGGUACUUACAGAGGAAUUGUGAUGCAUUAGAGUACAUUAUUUCAUUAAGGAAAAUGCCUGGAAAUACUAUUUCUGGCUCAGCCUUCGCACAUCUCUGCCUUUUCCCAAGAAGAACAGAAAAUGGCCAAACCCCAGAGUCUUCCUGUGGAUGGCGGAAUUGUCUUUAAGCACAGCCUGGUGAUAAAUGCAGUCCCUGGUUUCCUGCUGAUAUUUCUUACAGCAUUCCUCAGUGAGCUGGCGACAUAACGUCAAGGUGUAAUUUGGGAACGAAAUGUCUUAGGGAAAUGGCUUUUCUUGAAAUCAUUUUCCUGAAGUAAGUUUAUCAGUCAGACUUUGGAUUCUCAUUUGGCCAAGAGACAGAGUCUUGCAGAUGUGCUUAUAGCCAACCAUCUUUUUUCUUUCAGUAAAAAAAAAAAAAAAAAAAAAAAAAUUUAAAUUAGUGCGUAGGAAUAUUGAAUUUGUUGUCACUGUCCAGUACAAUAAAUAUGAACCCAUUUGGCAUUGUUAAUGUCAGUGCUGAGGUGAAGGUAUUUCAUGAAUACAGAUGGGUGUAACUAAUCUAUGGGAUAGAGAAUAGUUUCAUCAGGCAAAAAAUGCUUUAUGCUACUCCUUUAUGGUUCUUUCCUUCCCCACUUGUAACCUCAGACAACCACAGAUCUGUUCUGCAUCACUACAGUUUUUAUCUUUUCCAGGAUGUCAUAUAAAAGGAAUCAUAUGUAUGUAACCUUUUUUUAGAAAAAUUAAAUGUUCAUUGGAGAUAAUCAAUUGAUGUGCAGUUAUAAAAAUAUAGAGACAUCCCAUGUAUCCUUUACCUGUUUCCCCCAAUAGUACCUCUUACAAAGCUAUAGUAGAAUGUCAUGACCAGGAUGUUGACUUUGCUGUGGUUAAGACAAGCCCCGGCACCGCAGGGACCUCUUAUGUUGCCCUUUUAUAGCCAAAUCCAUCCGUUUUCUCUAAUCCUCCCAUUCUUAGCCUUCUAGGAAUUACCACUCUCCAUUUCUCGAAUUUUGUUGUUUCAAGGAUGAGAUAAAAAUCAAAUCCUGGGUGGCUCAGUGGGUUAAAGCCUCUGCCUUCGAUCCCAGGGUCCUGGGAUCAAGCCCCAUGUUUGGCUCUCUGCUCAGCAGGGAGCCUGCUUCCUCUCUCAGUGCCUGCCUCUCUGCCUACUUGUGAUCUCUGUCUGUCAAAUAAAUAAAUAAAAUCUUUAAGAAAAUAAAAUCCUACAGUAUGUGACCUUUUGACAUUGAGGAUAUUUUUACUCAGCAUAAUUCCCUGGAGAUUCAGACAAGCUGUGUUAGGUCUUUUUAUUGCUGGGUGGUAUUCCAUGAUAUUGAUGCACCACUGCUUGUCUGUCCCUUCUUCUGUUGAAAGACAUUGGAAUUAUUUCCAGUUUUUGACAGUUACAAGUAACACUACUUUAAACCUUCGUACACGGGUUUUUGUCUGAACAUCGGUUUUCAUUUCUCUAGAAUAAAAUAUUGGAUUGCUGGGUCACAUGAUAAGUGAAUGUUUAACUUUUUAAGACACUGCCAGAUUGUUUUCCAGAAUGGUUGAAUCAUUUUUCAUUUCCCCCAGCAAUGUAUAAGAAUUCCAGUUGCUACGUUUUUGUCAGCGCUUGGUAUUGUCAGUAUUUUUAAUUUUAGUCAUUCUGGCUAAAAUUAUAGUUGGUAUCUCAUCAUGGCUUUAAUUUGGGUUUCACUAAUAGCCAAUUAUGUUCAAGGUCUUUAGAUACGCUUAUUUACUUUUUGUGUAUCCUCUUUGAUGAAGUGUUCAGUCUGCUCUUCUGCCCAUUUAAAAUUAGAUUGUUUUCUCACUACUGAGCUUUGAGAGUUCUUUAUGUAUUCUGUGUGCAAGUCCUUUGCUGGAUACAUAGUUUGUGUGGUUUGCCUUUUUAUUCUCUAAACAGAGUGUUCACAGAGCAAGAAUUUUUAAUUUUGAAAAUGUCCUGUGUAUGAAUUAUUUCCUUUAUGGAUGGUGAUUUUGGUGUCAUGGUUAAGAACUCUUUGCUGGAUCCUCAGGUCGUGAAGAUUUUUUUUGAUUCUGUAAGUUUCAUAGUUUUAGCUUUUACAUUUAGACCUGUGAUCUCUUUUGCAUUAAUUUUUAUAUAAGGGGUGAGAAGUAGGUUGAGGGUUAUUAUUUUGCAUAUGGAAUUCCAUUUGUUCCAACCCCAUUUGUCCAAAGGAUCAUUUUUCUCUUUUGAAUUGCUUUUGCAGGUUCGUCAUAAAUCAGUCGGCCAUAUUUGUGGAUCUAUUUCUGGACUCUACUCUGUUCUGUUGAUCUAUGUAUCUAAUCUUCUGCCAGUCCCACACUUUUUUUUUUACACUUUUAUUUAAAUUCCAGUUAGUUAGCAUACAGCUGUUUCCAUAAUUUGGCUAUCAUAGAUAAUGCUGCUAUAAACACUGGGGUCUGUAUGCCUUUGAAUUAGUACUUUUGUAUUCUUUGGCUAAGUACCUAGCAGUGUGAUUGCUGGGUUGUAGGGUAGCUCUAUUUUUAACUUUUUGAGGAACCUCCAUACUGUUUCCAGGAUGACUGCACCAGUUUGCAUCCCCACCAACAGUACAAGAGGGUUCCCCUUUCUCC